rnacentral:lncRNA from 1 species
GCUGUUUGCCGCCAUCGCAGACCCGCCACCGCAGACCUGCCACUGCAGACCCACCACUGACUCCCAUCCCUCCGGAUCCAGCAGGGUGUCCGCUGUGCUCCUGAUCCAGCGAGGUGUCCAUUGCCACUCCCAAUCAGGCUAAAGGCUUGCCAUUGUUCCUGCACAGCUAAGUGCCUGGGUUCAUCCUAAUCAAGCUGAACACUAGUCACUGGGUUCCACGGUUCUCUUCCGUGACCCAUGUCUUCUAAUAGAGCUAUAACACUCACCGCAUGGCCCAAGAUUCCAUUCCUUGGAAUCCGUGAGGCCAAGAACCCCAGGUAAGAGAACACGAGGCUUGCCACCAUCUUGGAAGUGGCCUGCCACCAUUGUGGAAGUGGCCCACAACCAUCUUGGGAGCUCUGGAAGCAAGGACCCCCGGUAACAUUUUGGUGACCACGAAGGGACAUCCAAAGCGGCCCCGUAGAAGACGCCAAUCAAAAUAAACUGCAUUCCUGAGAUACACGGCCAGAAAUUAAAGGCAUUCAACUCCUCAAGGCCCAGAGACUAUCGAAGAAGAGGUGGGCAGAGCCUUGAAACUUUUCUUUUGAGCUAUUGACAGCUUUUAACAAUUUAGUAUACUCCAAUCAACAAAAUUUGGAGCAUAUUUGUUUCUCUCUACCUGAUUUCUCCAGAAUUUGUAAACUAUUUGAGUCACUGAAAACAGCUGUGCUUUUGUAAAGCCCUGCAAACUGAAGCUAGACAACUUAAACUUCAGAAGAAAAUAACAGCAACCUAUUUACACGCAUAAGCCACUUUCAUACCUGCCUACUGAUGUAUGGACUUCAGAAUAACGUGGCCUAUGUAUAUUUUCCAGGAUUGUUCUUUUGUUUGUUGUUUUUCACCCUUCCUCCCCCUAUUUUCUCUUCACAAGACAUGGGAGUUCACAGCCUUCUAAAAAUUAGCUUUCCUAAUAACUUGGGACUUACCUGUCUAGGAAUAAACCAUCCUAGCAUGAGCGAUCAGAUGAAAUCUGGGACCAAAGACUCAUUUUUCUUCUAAAAUGCUUUCUCCAAAAAAAAAUUUUUUUUAAAAAAAAGAAAAGGGGGCAAAUGUAAAGGAAAAUAUCUUGGGCCCCCAAAUCACUAAGUUAAAAGGAAAAUUCAAGCUAGGAACUACUUAAGACAAACUUGCCUCCCAUUCUAUUCAAAGUCAUCCCUCUGCUCAUUGAGAUAAAUGUGUAUCUGACUGCCUCCUUAGGAAAGGUAAAUCAGAAACUCAAAAGAAUGCAACCAUUUGUCUCCCACCUACCCGUGACCUGGAAGCCCCCUUCCCGCUUCAAGUUGUCCCGCCUUUCCGAACCCAACCAGUGUUCAUUUUACAUAUAUUGAUUGAUGUCUUAUAUGUCCCUAAAACGCAUAAAACCAAGCUGUGCUCUGACCACCUUGGGCACAUGUUGUCAGGACCUCCUGAGGCUGUGUCACUGCGUGCGCAUCCUCAACCUUGGCAAAAUAAACUUUCUAAAUUAACUGAUACCUGUCUCAAAUUUUUGGGGUUCACAAGGUUUAGUUAUAAAUGCUUCUUAUGGAGCAUGAUUU